rnacentral:tRNA from 1 species
AUGGGUGUGGCUCAACUGGCAGAGCAGUGGUCUGGAAAAACCACAGGUUGCAGGUUCUACUCCUGUCACCCAUG